UAUUUCAGGAUACUGUCUGUAUCCCGAAAUAGUGCUACAGUCUAGACUCACCCUUAUUGACACAGAACAUACACCACUUCACACUGAGGUUGGUCCCAUGUGUUUCAAACUUUGUUCUAAAUUUAUAUGGCUUCUAGGCCAGGAGAAAAUAGUAUUUUUCAAACAUGAUCUUAAAAAAUUCCCUGUUUCAUUCCAUUACCUUUCAGGUUACUGACGUCAUAAUGCUUUACUGCUGGCACCAUGCCGCAAAGUUCCACAACGAGGCGGAGUUGGGAAGAUGACAGGAUGACAGCAGCUGGAGAGGACAGAGCGGGAGACAGCUUUGGGCGUUCCAAGCAUUUUCUCAAAGCCUAUGGCAAGUCAUAACUCGGUGCAUGGAUGAAAAGCUUCAAUGAAGUGUGAAUCCACCAUGAAGCCGGGCUCAGGUAAUGCACUCCUUUAGUCUGAUGACUCAUAAAGCAGACCUCUAGCUGAAAUAGGAUUACAGUGCAGUGGACUAGUACAGUAGCUGUGCUCUCAGAACAAACAUACACUUAUCUCCCAUAACGUCCAACUUGCAAUGACUGUUAAUCGAUCAAUGAUCAUGAAGCUACAGAAAAUAAUUGCAAAGCCUGCCCAUCGCACUUCUCCUUUCUUUUCUUUUGUAAUCCCCAGCCACAGCUUCUGGAAGAGGAAAGCCCAAGGGAUGCAACUGUGUUCAUGACAGAGAGGUGUGGCAUUGGUGGAGUCCAUCUAAGUGCCAUAUGAGGGAGUCUUUUUUCGCUCAUCUGAAGGACAUGCCCCAGCCAUCUCCAGCGUCUCUGCUUGAUCUCGUCCACAACAUUGUUGAUGCCAAUGCGUUGGCUUAUCUCCUUGUUGGUAACAUGCUGUUUCCUGCUCAUUCAGAAAUAUAAUUUAUGCUAUCAUGUGCCAAAAGUCUCCGUCUGCUAUGUACAUUGGA